UCAUAUAUUUACUUUACAAGUCCUUUACAUUUACAAAAUAGCUCAAAUAAAUUAUUUUCAAGUCGCCUUCCCACCCACUGGUCCAGCCUAGUCUGGGAUGACUACAUCUUUUGAACAGGCUUGAUUUACAUCAUCUGCAUCUAAAAAUAGAGAAAGCAAGGAUGAGUACGACAAGUCAUACUCAGCAAGCAGAUACUUCACUAUUCAACAAGAGUAGAAUUUAAGGAUAUUGAUACAGUAACAACGGGUUGACUAUAUCUAAAGGAGCAUAAAUAACGUGACAAUUUGCUGGAGCCAAUUUAAUUGGAAAUAGGUAAAAGAACAACAUAACCGGAUAUAAUGAAAAUGGACCAAGAAAUUAUUGGCGUCACACAUGACCGCAAGCUUCCCAACCCGGGAGUCACAGGGGUGAAAUUUCACACUUUUACGCUCUUAAGAGAGGUACUCCGACGUCGACAGUCUCAACUAGAACCACACAGGCGCUAGUAGAGCAGAGCUCUUGUACCCACUAAGACUCGAACACCUGAACCUACUGAUGUCGAUCGCUCCCAUGGAUCCAUCAUCGACACGUUCCCGAACAAGGUCCGUCCUUAGUGGAGAACUCAGACAGUCCCAUACCUGAACUGUGACCGGUACAAUACGUUUGCCGUCGUGACACCAAUAUAGAUGGACAGAAUAUGACAUGGGGCUGGAUUAGCUAUAUAGGAUCACUGAAAUAUCAGCCAAGACAAUAAAACCAUGCCUUUACAUGAGUUCCUCUCGUAUCAGACUUUCCAUCAACAAAUGGAUCAUCAAGGACAACAUGUCCUUCAACAAAUGGAUUAUCAAAGACAACAUGUCCUCAAAUAAAACAGGAAUCAACAGAGGAUAAAUAAGAUUCAAGGUCUAGUAACAUAAUCAGAACGAUGAUCACAGGAGACAACAAUAAGAUAGGAUUCAAGAAGUUAGCAAAGUAACCACUUGCCUCGGAUAAUAUGAUUUGUCCUUUAGAAUAAUAUUCUGCCAGAAGAUGAAACUCCAAUACUCCAUCAUCUUUGUAUAGAAUCUGACGAACACACAUAUACUAAUAUUCUUCUGACGUAUGGCUCCGUUCUUCCCUCUAGCAGCAUCUACACGAUCUAUAUAUCUUCAAACAUGGACACAUGCAUACUUGUAUUCUUCAUCUCUCUUCUCUUCGCUCUCUCUCCGCUGGUAUGCUCUAUUUCUCUCAUGCUCUCACUCUUGGUGAUGAGGAUGUGCAAAACGAGUAGCAGCAGCUAUUUAUAGAUGGUGAGCCCAGAGUGAACUCAGCCGAGCUAUUCUUGAAGCACACGAUCAUCUGGACUCUACCUAUUACGUGGCAAGCAUGCAUUGGUGUACGUGGAGAACCUGGUAAAAGAUCAAGCCGCAAUGGCCUUUGACCCUUGCCCCUUGACCCUUCGAACUGCUGCCCCUUUUGCUUGUGCAAAAGCCAAACAAACCUGACCACUAUACAAAACCUCCACGUAGAAAUUUCUUGGUCCUAAAUAUCUAAGGGUGCUGCCAGCACAACCUAGCUUCAUCUAGUACCAGGCCACGUUGGCCCUCUCAUGCAUAGGAUUUUACUUAGCUUGUAAGCAUAGUACAUACGUGUGCAUUCUCAUCAUUACAUGCAUGCACAUCUUCUAGUAUUUGGCCAUCUUCUCAUUACUAGCUAGCCUGUACUACCCACUAAUUUGUAUUACUUUGCAUGCUAAUGCCUUAACGUGAGUGCAUGGAUGCUAGUCUAUGUGCAUAUAUACAUACUUACUUAGUGUGUAAUUAUAUCCAUCUAAUAUUUUAUGCAUGCAAAAAUUACAGUUCUAUUUUAAUCACUUGAAUCAAUAAUCUAGCAUAUCUUAUUUGCUCAAAUAUUUUAUGUUAAACAUAUAAUAGAAAUUUAAUUACUCAUCUUAAUUUAAAUUAAUAACCCUAAAAAAUCAGGGUUAUUACAUCCUUCCCACCUUAUAAGAAUUUCGUCCCCGAAAUUCAUUUCCACUAUUUUGUUAGUGGCCAAAUAUCCUCCGAUAAUAAUUGAGAUAGCUUAUUUGAUGUGUGCUGAAUAAUUAAUUAAUAAAAUGCAAACAUGAUUUGCAAUCUUUUCUCCUUUUCAUGGAUAUAUCUGCUAUAACAUAAGUUGGCAACACUAGUCAUUUUAUUUGGUAAGGUCAUUAUCAAAAAGGAUAGAUGGUGGUAUAGUAAUUGUCCCAUUAUUAGAUAAAUAUCACCAGUUGUCUUAAACAAGAAAAUCUACACAAAUAACAAGUCAUGAGUCAACAAAAUGUCUAUUUAUUUCCCAUGCAUCCUCAAAUUUCACCAAUAAUAUGUACGCUAUAUUUUUAUUUGCCUGGAUAUCUGCCAAAAAUAUUUGUGAGUAACAACACACAAACAAGUUGAGACAAGGUAUGAAAAUAAAAUCUUCAUACCUGUCACACAACACAAAUAUAUUCGACGAUCUACCCGUUUAUCCCAACGCAACCUAAAACCUAGAGCUUUGAUACCACUUUAACUGUCACGCCCCGAGACCGGGCCUAGGCGAGACAGCUGACGCGCGCCUAUAGACCAGGGGCCUAUAGUCACGCAAGGCGUGAUUAAGCAGGCAUAAACCAACAGUGGAUCACAAAAGCUCAUAUAUCUACUUUACAAGUCCUUUACAUUUACAAAAUGGCUCAAAUAAAUUAUUUUCAAGUCGCCUUCCCACCCACUGGUCCAGCCUAGUCUGGGAUGACUACAUCUUUUGAACAGGCUUGAGUUACAUCGUCUGUAUCUAAAAAUAGAGAAAGCAGGGAUGAGUACGACAAGUCAUACUCAGCAAGCAGAUACUUCACUAUUCAACAAGAGUAGAAUUUAAGGAUAUUGAUACAGUAACAGCGGGUUGACUAUAUCUAAAGGAGCAUAAAUAACGUGACAAUUUGCUGGAGACAAUUUAAUUGGAAAUAGGUAAAAGAACAACAUAACCGGAUAUAAUGAAAAUGGACCAAGAAAUUAUUGGCGUCACACAUGACCGCAAGCUUCCCAACCCGGGAGUCACAGGGGUGAAAUUUCACACUUUUACGCUCUUAAGAGGGGUACUCCAACGUCGACAGUCUCAACUAGAACCACACAGGCGCUAGUAGAGCAGAGCUCUUGUACCCACUAAGACUCGAACACCUAAACCUACUGAUGUCGAUCGCUCCUAUGGAUCCAUCACCGACACGUUCCCGAACAAGGUCCGUCCUUAGUGGAGAACUCAGACAGUCCCAUACCUGAACUGUGACCGGUACAAUACGUUUGCCGUCGUGACACCAAUAUAGAUGGACAGAAUAUGACAUGGGGCUGGAUCAGCUAUAUAGGAUCACUGAAAUAUCAGCCAAGACAAUAAACCCAUGCCUUUACAUGAGUUCCUCUCGUAUCAGACUUUCCAUCAACAAAUGGAUCAUCAAGGACAACAUAUCCUUCAACAAAUGGAUUAUCAAAGACAACAUGUCCUCAAAUAAAACAGGAAUCAACAGAGGAUAAAUAAGAUUCAAGGUCUAGCAACAUAAUCAGAACGAUGAUCAGAGGAGACAACAAUAAGAUAGGAUUCAAGAAGUUAGCAAAGUAACCACUUGCCUCGGAUAAUAUGAUUUGUCCUUUAGAAUAAUAUUCUGCCAGAAGAUUAAACUCCAAUACUCCAUCAUCUUUGUAUAGAAUCUGACAAACACGCAUAUACUAAUAUUCUUCUCACGUAUGGCUCCGUUCUUCCCUCCAGCAGCAUCUACACGAUCUAUAUAUCUUCAAACAUGGACGCAUGCAUACUUGUAUUCUUCAUCUCUCUUCUCUUCGCUCUCUCUCCGCUGGUAUGCUCUAUUUCUCUCAUGCUCUCACUCUUGGUGAUGAGGAUGUGCAAAACGAGUAGCAGCAGCUAUUUAUAGAUGGUGAGCCCAGAGUGAACUCAGCCGAGCUGUUCUUGAAGCACACGAUCAUCUGGACACUACCUAUUAUGUGGCAAGCAUGCAUUGGUCUACGUGGAGAACCUGGUAAAAGAUCAAGCCGCAAUGGCCUUUGACCCUUGCCCCUUGACCCUUCGAACUGCUGCCCCUUUUGCUUGUGCAAAAGCCAAACAAACCUGACCACUAUACAAAACCUCCACGUAGAAAUUUCUUGGUCCUAAAUAUCUAAGGGUGCUGCCAGCACAACCUAGCUUCAUCUAGUACCAGGCCACGUUGGCCCUCUCAUGCAUAGGAUUUUACUUAGCUUGUAAGCAUAGUACAUACGUGUGCAUUCUCAUCAUUACAUGCAUGCACAUCU
rnacentral:lncRNA from 1 species